rnacentral:rRNA from 1 species
UACGGAGGGAGCUAGCGUUGUUCGGAAUUACUGGGCGUAAAGCGCACGUAGGCGGCUUUUAAGUCAGGGGUGAAAUCCCGGGGCUCAACCCCGGAACUGCCUUUGAAACUGGGAAGCUAGAAUCUUGGAGAGGCGAGUGGAAUUCCGAGUGUAGAGGUGAAAUUCGUAGAUAUUCGGAAGAACACCAGUGGCGAAGGCGACUCGCUGGACAAGUAUUGACGCUGAGGUGCGAAAGCGUGGGGAGCAAACAGG